GAAGUAUCCGGAACACAUGGAACACUCGUGCCAGCGAGGGUUCCUGCGUCCUGCAGAACCUGGACCUCGGUUCUGCGAUCCGGAGCAACGGCCAGAGCAGAAGAAGAUGGGAACUCGGUACCAGCUCGAACUGGCUCCUUCUCGGCUUUACGUCGAGCUAGUUUCUUUCGGAAAGAAAGAUGGCCGGCGACGCAAGCUGGCGCUUCAACAGAGGAAGUCGGAAUCGGAGCCAGGGUGGUUGUCU
rnacentral:lncRNA from 1 species